AUUGAACGCUGGCGGCAUGCUUUACACAUGCAAGUCGAACGGUAACAGGCCUUCGGGUGCUGACGAGUGGCGAACGGGUGAGUAAUGCAUCGGAACGUACCCAGAGGUGGGGGAUAACGCAGCGAAAGCUGUGCUAAUACCGCAUGUGAUCUGAGGAUGAAAGCGGGGGACCGAGCAGCAAUGUUUGGCCUCGCGCCUUUGGAGCGGCCGAUGUCGGAUUAGCUAGUUGGUGGGGUAAAGGCCUACCAAGGCGACGAUCCGUAGCUGGUCUGAGAGGACGACCAGCCACACUGGGACUGAGAACCGGCCCAGACUCCUACGGGAGGCAGCAGUGGGGAAUUUUGGACAAUGGGCGCAAGCCUGAUCCAGCAAUGCCGCGUGCGGGAAGAAGGCCUUCGGGUUGUAAACCGCUUUUGGCAGGAACGAAACGGUGUCCGCUAAUACCGGGCGCUAAUGACGGUACCUGCAGAAUAAGCACCGGCUAACUACGUG
rnacentral:rRNA from 1 species